AGCGCCGGAGGGAGCCCCGCGGGCCCGGGGGAGCGCGGCCGCCGGCCCUGCUCCGCUCCAGGGAGCCCGGCCUGGGCGGCUCGGGGGGAGCCGGGGCCGAACUGUCGCCUCUGCAGCCGCCUGGGGAGAGGGUCCGUCAGCAACAACGGGGCGUUUCGUACCUUCCUAUGGAGGUACCUUCGAGGCCGAGCUCCUAAGUUGAAGUCUGCUGAAGCGUCCUUAGUCUUUGCUGCAUAGGCCGCUAAAGCCGUCUACCUUUCAGUGGAUCCAAAAGCACGUGUUUUGGAUUGUAAGCAAGAAACAAAGAAUGAAGGAAAGCCAGGAAGUCAUCAAUCUAGGAAAAAAGUUAGAGUUUUAACUAUGGCUCCUCCCAACAACUGAUUAAAGGCUAAGACAGCAGCUUGGCUGGAAAGACUGCUUCCCUCCUGACUCCCAAGCAAAGAAGUGAGGGCCACACACAAACAUGCACAGGAUUUCUUUUGAUGCAGGAAGCUUUACCAUUCAAAACAGUUGCCCCAAAUGAUGAGUUGAAGAGUUCAUCCUGGUUUUCUGCAAGGAAUGGCAUCAAGCAGAGAGGAAAACUUUUCCAGAGCUGCCAGUGUGGGCACCCAGCCUUGGCUUUUUGCACUCGUCAUUGACCAAUCUAUCUGCAUUUCGACAGGGCACUUGGUCAUCUUGACCUAUUAGAAAAACCCACUUGAGGUUGAUGUGAUUUGGUUCAGGAAGAUUUGCAGAACUCACACUUCAUCUGUCAGCAUGGUCUCAGGCAAAGUUUGGGGAUUUCACCAAAGAAAGGGAGGAAGCCCAAGACAUGGAUUAAACAGGGUACAAAAAUCCAACAGAAGAUGCACUGAGCCUUCUCUGGUAACCAUGCUGCCAUUUCCUGGUGUUCCAGACUCUUAUCUGCUGUGAUUGUGGACAGUUGCAUGGCUAGAUAAGAAUAACAUCUUUAUAGAAGUAUCCAGAUCAUCUUCUAGAAUCACUUAGGUUGGAAAAGACAUUUAAGAUUGAAUUCAGCCACGAACCUAACGCUGCCAAGUCCACCAGAAGUUAUAGGUAAAUCAGACCUUUCAUCAUGGAUCUCCCCAAACUCCCUGCUGUACUGUUCCCACCUGCCAUGCCACUAGAACCCACCGGAAUCUGGCUGGACAACAACUGGAAGCGUUCAAACGGAUUGUUAAUCUUCCUGUGUGAUUAUUACUGAGUGAUCUUCCAUCAUCACAGAAAGUUAUCCCCUCCCCUGAAGGCCUUAUAGACAAAGUGCAAAGCACCCAGCUCUCAGGUUUCCCGCUGCCCUUCCUGCCUCAGAGUGUAGGCUGGUUCAGACUGAUGAUUCACAGACCAUCUAUUUUCAGCACAUCUUCUUGGCCUUUUAGGUCAUGGCACUACUUUUGCUUGCAUGGAUCUUGCUUGUGUGAAGAUACCUGCCUGAUGUCUGCUCCCAGCAGCCUUUCAGCAACUGCCUCACCGUGCACUGCUUUGCUCCAGAGUGGGCUUAUCUCUGUCCUCAGCAGCGCACGGCACUUACCUGAGAGAGACAUUAUCUUCUCAUUUGAGUGCAGCCUGUUCACAUUACGGAAUGCAUGUUCUCCAUAGCACAUAUCCUGGUGGGGGGUCUCCUAUAGGCUUUCAGAGCUUGUUUGCUCAGUUUGAUGAGCUGCUAAUUCUGUUUGAUCUGGAGAGUUGUCACAGCAAUAAGAUACACACAGUGUCCCCAGCACCAAGUCAAGACAGAGGACACCCAACAGAAGCUUUUGAAGGAAGUGAACGAUUUUAGCUGGCUUCCAGUGUCCAGUCCCAUGACAAGAACUGCUCCACACAGUGAUCUGACUUUAGGCACAAAGAGCCUUUUAAAGAGGCUUUGUUGAAGUGUAAAAUCCUCAGAACAGCUUGGUAGAGAUCAGUAGAUAGUGAUCUGAGUUAGGAUCAGCUCCAACUCAAUUCUCUGAGCACCACUGAGUCUUAAAUGCAAAUAAUACAGAAAAUAAGCUGGGAAGAAGUUAUUUAGAGACCUUUAUAGAUUUCUCAACAUUAGGACCACCACAACCGUUGGGCAAAAAUGAUGUGAAUAAAAUACCAGUAAUCCUGAAAUAGGCAGUGUCUAGGAAGACAUUAGACAACUGGAUGAGUAGGAAAUAUUCCUGAGCCACACCAGCCUUGGGAACUGACCAGCAGAUUUGCCUGGUUAAUGAAGACCUAUACAAAGCAACCUAUACAAAGAACCUAUACAAAAUCCCUACACACAAACUUCUGGGCUCUGUCUAUAAUGUAUAUAUUGAAGACGUUGUUUGUAUAAAGAUAUAGUAUUAUUCAAUCACACUAUGAGCAAUGCUAUCAGCAUCACAUAAAAUACUUCAUAUAAUGCAAAUUUUUUAAUCAAAAAUUACUAACUUUUUUUGAUGCUCAGUCAUACAAGUGAAUAAUCUUCCUGUAAUGAAGAUACAAGUGACCUUGAUCUUCUGUUUACAGAAAAAAACCCAUGACAUUAAAUUUGCAAAAAGAACAGUAUGGAUCCAUAGAAAUCAUUGGCCUGAACUAGCCAAGCAUUUAGUUUUCUAGUGGAAUCCUGUAAGGAGGAUUAUGAUACUAGCACGUACCUAUUAAAAGGAUAAUUAUGCUGAAGAAAUUAAACAACCUACACAUGAUGCCUCAAGCUGUUGCAGUUUUCUUGCAGUAUGCUUUAAAAGGCCAUUGGCUGUGUCCACUUUUUUUUUCAGAUGCAGGGAAAUACCUUCCUUUGAGACUGUGCCAAUCUAAACUACAGAGUUAGUCAUAGACCAUAAUGGCUUAAAAUUUAGAACAACUUCAAGAUGAGAGCACUGAGCUCAUGUUCAGGCUGGAACUAUGACCCUGGUUCUUUCAAGUCCAAGGACAACCUACUCAGCCAGAAUCAGUUCUUACAUAACGUUGUAAAACAUUUCUAAAAGUGUCCCUCUUAAUCUUUUAGCAAGAAGUGCUUCUUAUCCCAACGUUAUGGGGCAUAACUGGGCAGCACAGGAAAGCUGUGCCAGCUGACAAUGUCUAAUGAGGGCAGAGCUCUAGCUUUUCAUCAAGAAAAAACUUUUCAAUAACAAGUCCCCUUCUCCUGCAGCUGGCAAGCUGAGACUGAAACUUGCUUCCCCAGCUCUCCUUCUGCAGCACUCUGCAUGUAACAUUACAGAGAAAAUAAAAAUUAGAGCAACUUCAAAGAGUUGUUGUUUUUUUUUUUAAAAUAAAAUGAAGUCACCAACAAUUGUAGCUGUUUUAAUCAUCAGGAACCAAUACCAACAAAGGCUUUAUUCUUGCUGGAGAUAUGCAAUAAAGAAACAUAGCACUAAGAUUUUCAAGGUGUCCCUUUUCCUCUAAAGAUUAGACUCAAAAUGUCAGUUUAAACCAAACAACACACCCCACCCCCCUCCAACACCACAAAACCCAAAUGUUCUGAGACAGAAACAAAAGCCAGAAGCCAGAAGUCCCUGGAGCCUGUGUGUUGUUUCUGAAGAAACCCUCAGCAUUCCCAGUCUCCAGUUUAACAGAACCUGACUAUCUCCAUUGAAUUCAGAAGUCCCCAGGAUGGAUUUGCUGACUUAGUGUUGGCCAGUGUCACCAGCUGAAUUAGGAACCUUCAUUUGGUGGUGGAACUGCUUACCAGUGCCUCUUCUUGAAGUGUAUUUUUAGUUCUGGAUGUCUAGAAAGUCCUCAGCAUCACCUCAGGAAUGUGCCAAAUCGACGAGUUUUUGCUGCUCUGUGGAACAGUCAGGUUGAGAUUUCUCUGCAGUCUUUUGGGGUUAAAGAAGAUGGCGUGAAAAAGAAGCUGCAGAAGGAACACCUGUGCAACUAUCAGGAGGAAAUAUUGUUUUGGGAAAAGAAGAAUUAAUUGCUGGAUGUUGUGGUUGUGUGGAAAAUUAGGUCAUCCUAAUUUUUCAUACUAUUUUAGGACCAGGUAACUAAUCACAAACCAGUAGUGUAAUAGGGUCAGAGAGUUUUUAUGGGGCUGUUAGACAAGUUGCAGACACCUGUACAAAUAGGAGAGCUCCCAGGAUGUGUGAGCUCAGCGAAGAGGAGCUCAGCAAGGUUUUUGCUUGAUACCGUACCAUAUAACCCUUCAUUUUGUGCAUUUUCUGACUAAUCAUAAAAUCUCACCCAGCUGACUUCCAAAGCCAACUGGAUCAAGUAGUCCUCUGUUCCGUAGCCACAGAGCCUCUCCCUGUCCCUCUCCAAUGGAAAUUCUGCAGGAAAUGUUUGAUGUAAAUCAUGCCAAGGUGCCAUCAGUCUGAAUUUCUUGCUAGAAUUUUAGUAUUUCUCUGGAUUUGACUUAUUCCUUAUAAUAAAAAUUAUUUUGGCUAUGCAAAACCUCUGUCCUACCUUUUCUCCUUGCCAUGUAGAAGUCUGAACACUAUUGUAUCUUACUGGAUUAUUUUCUCCUUCUUUUUGUUUCUUUCUCUUUUCUUCUUUUUUUAAUGCUGUUUUGACAGCCAGUCAAUUUUUUUACCUCCCUUUGAAGAAGCUACUCAAAAGGGCAGGAGCACAUGAGCUAACUUCAGGGAUGAAAAAGGAGAGGUAUUUUUAGAGUAAGGGGAACACAAAAAAAGAACUGGUUUAUUUACUGUAAAAAACUGUGGAGGUCCUUAGCUUUGAGGCAGGCUGAUGGCAUGUCUGCCACACUCAUGACAGACACUUCAAAGUGCAGAGACAUUCUACAGCACUUCAAGGAAUUUCCUGCUCUGCAAAUAAUGCUGCAGAAGAAACACUCAAGUACAAGCAGCACAGCAUUGCAGAAAAUCAGGUGGCAUGUUUAACAAACCUUCCAGUUUUAUGAAGCAGGGGAAUUCCAUUAGGAGUGUGGACUAUUUACCUUAACACAAUCUUUCAUUGGAAUAAGAGAAGUAGAACUUGCUCUGUAGGUUCGUAAUUGCUGAAAUUAAUAAGUGUGGCUCAUCACUCUCUGCAGUACUAUACGAAUUUACUGUGCUCUUUUAUCUCAAUUACUUUCUGUGUGUGUCUUAUAUUUCUCUAUUAAACUUCAGUAAUUGUAACACUGUGGUAAUAACAUUAACAUACUGAGUAUUAUAUGAUGGGCUAUUUUACUUUACUCUGACUGCCUUAUUUACAUUAUAAUUAUUAGUGUCUAUAUAAAUGUGAUUCAUUGAACUAAUAAAG